ensembl:ncRNA B0395.7 ncRNA
GACCAUGGAAUGGAAGGAGUGAUAUAGAACCUAAAUCAAAUAUUCGAAGGUAUAUAUGUUCAUUUAUUAUUAAAAAUUAAAGGAUUAAAGGACGAUCCGUUCUUCAAGUGCUAUGCACUGCGGAUAAGAGCUUUUGAGAAAAUCCAAAAC